UACGUAGGUGGCAAGCGUUAUCCGGAUUUAUUGGGCGUAAAGGGAACGCAGGCGGUCUUUUAAGUCUGAUGUGAAAGCCUUCGGCUUAACCGGAGUAGAGCAUUGGAAACUGGGAGACUUGAGUGCAGAAGAGGAGAGUGGAACUCCAUGUGUAGCGGUGAAAUGCGUAGAUAUAUGGAAGAACACCAGUGGCGAAAGCGGCUCUCUGGUCUGUAACUGACGCUGAGGUUCGAAAGCGUGGGUAGCAAACAGG
rnacentral:rRNA from 1 species